rnacentral:rRNA from 1 species
AUUGAACGCUGGCGGCAGGCCUAACACAUGCAAGUCGAGCGGUAGAGAGAAGCUUNCUUNUCUUGAGAGCGGCGGACGGGUGAGUAAUGCCUAGGAAUCUGCCUGGUAGUGGGGGAUAACGCUCGGAAACGGACGCUAAUACCGCAUACGUCCUACGGGAGAAAGCAGGGGACCUUCGGGCCUUGCGNUAUCAGAUGAGCCUAGGUCGGAUUAGCUAGUUGGUGAGGUAAUGGCUCACCAAGGCGACGAUCCGUAACUGGUNUGAGAGGAUGAUCAGUCACACUGGAANUGAGACACGGUCCAGACUCCUACGGGAGGCAGCAGUGGGGAAUAUUGGACAAUGGGCGAAAGCCUGAUCCAGCCAUGCCGCGUGUGUGAAGAAGGUCUUCGGAUUGUAAAGCACUUUAAGUUGGGAGGAAGGGCAGUUACCUAAUACGUAUCUGUUUUGACGUUACCGACAGAAUAAGCACCGGC